GAAUAUUUAGAUUUCUUUAGUUAUAUAUGAUUUUCAAUUUUUUUUAUCUAUUGAUAAAGCAUCAAUAUAAAAUAGGUUACUAUCAUAUGGAGACCAGUGGUGUUCUUCUUUCUUGUAUAUGUUUGUUUUGUUUCAAAGUUUUGGCCUUUUAUGAUCUCUAUACAAGAUAUUCUUGUGCAGGUAUUCUGUCAUGUUGUUCCUUCUCUAGUAAAGUUGCGGAAAGAAUGUUUGGAUGGGAAUGAGAAGAUUAAGAGUUAUAUGUGGGUAUAUUUAUCCAUCUCAGACAGUGAGCUUAUAUCUGGCUGCACAUUACUUUUUAUUUUUAUUUUUAAUUCCAUUGCAAAAUUCAUGUUAUGGAAUCUCUAUUAAUGAAUUGUUCAUAUCAUAUGUUCUUUCAGUUGGUGGCUGUCGCUGGGCUUUGUAAUUAUAGAAGCUCUAAUUUUUCUUGCUACUCACUUCCAUACUUAAUUUAUGUUGCUAGUUAUAGGCAUUAUUCAAAAUACUAUCAUUCAAGCAAUAUUUAAAUAAUCCUAGUAUACAACACAAAAUUGAACUAUUGAUAUACAAAAUUGAAAACGUAAGUAAGCCAAUAAGGUUAAAAAUAUAAUUUUGAUAGAAUCUAUCAAAAUUAUUUAUUUGUAGAUGCAUGCCAUGAUCAAUUAUUUAUUUUUCUUGGGAAAUGAUAGAAUCUAUCCCAUUUCGCACUAAAAAUGAAAAAUGAAUCCAAAGGAUUAGGGAAUAAAUAGUUUUAAGAAACAUAAGCUUUCCCGACUGGUUUGAUCAGCUUACUAUUGCUAGUUUACAUUGUAGUAAAGAUAAUGAUGUUAUCUUGUGGGAUGUUGUUGGAGAGACCGGUCUCUUUCGCCUUCGCGGUCAUCGUGAUUAGGUCUACUAGAGAGAUUCAUUGUUUGCAUUUUUUGCCGAGGUGGAGUGGCGGAGAGUGAUAUCAAAUAUAGAGUCGGGAAACAAACUUAAGGUGGUUGUUCUUACAAAUGAAUUCACUGUGAAGAAGACAACAAUUUAUCUUGUAUAUGAUGAACCAAGUGAUGAAAAGGCGAAGCACUGCGAUGUGCCCGAUGAGAAUGACAUUAUUUCUAGUGGUGAUGAAAUUAUAUUUGGCAGGCUCUUCUUCGCUCUUCCUUCCCUUGCUCGGACUAUUCUGUUUUCACAACCAUUAUGGUUUUGUUUGGUUGGUGGUAUCAUGGUUUGGUCAUCUCGGUGCCAGUCUGACAAAAAAAGAAGAGGCCACCCUAUUAUAAGGUACAAUUCUAUAUUUUUUGUAUACCAUUUAAUGUACUUUUCCUAUAAUGGAGCCUUAUAAGAAUAAUUAUUUUGUUGCUAAUAUUAAUUUGAGAUACUUUCUGCUGAUGUACUUCGUUGUUAUGUGAAACAUGGAACUAGGAUACACAAGCUCUCAAGGAGUCAAUAAUCCAAAAUCUUUAGACGAAAACCCUUUUUGAUUCAUAGACAAGAAGUGAAGAAACAUGGUCACAAGAGGCAACCGACAUUUCCCCGAAGGACGACUUGAUUUCAAUCAACAUGGUUUGAUUCUAGUUAUAUCAAAUUCCUGAAGCCAUAGGAUGAUGAUUUCAAACAAGAAGAGAAAGUAGAAACUACCAAAGACAUGUACAUGGUUGAAAGGGAAUAAAAGUUAAAAGGGUAUUAUGAACAAAUAUUAAAUACAGGUAUUUCGGUCCAUAUAUUCAGGAUCAAUGAAGGGAUUUCCAAAGGAUUUCGACAAAGCAAAGGCUCGGGUGACUGAUGUUGUAUUUGUGGGUUCUGGGAAAAAACAAGUUAGUUCAUCCGAAGACAAGUUUUUGAGAGUGUGGGACAUUGAUACAUAGCAUUGUAUGAAAAUAGCUAGGGGGCAUCAUAGUGAAAUAUGGUCGUUGGAUGUUGAUCCUGCUGAGAGGUAUCUUGUUACCGGUUCAACGGACAAGGAACUUCGUUUUUAUACAAUUAAGCAAGAUUCUGUGGAUAGGGAGAGUAUAAAUGAUGGUGGAGAUUCUUCUGUUUCAAAUAAAUGGGAAAAAUGGUAGAACAAAGAUAGUUUUGCCACUGUCCAGUUCAACAAGUCUGGGAAUUUGCUAGAAUGUCAUGUUGUGGGAAAGAUGGUAGAAAUAUUCCGUGUAUUUGAUGAUGCUGAAAGUAUCAACCAUAUUACAUCGGGCCAAUUAAGAAACUGAUGUAAAAAAUACAUAUUACAUCGGGCCAAUUAAGAAACCGAUGUAAAAACAUACAUAUUACAUCGGGCUACUACCAAACCGAGGUUAAAUAUUGCAUUUUUUUUUAAAAAAAUGGAUUUUGUUUCACAUCAGACAUAAAUUCAACCGAUGUGGUAUGUUGGUUUUUCACAUCGGGUUGUGGCCCGAUGUAAAAUGUCUUGCAUUUAAUACAUCGCUUGGAUUUACAUCGCACCC